GAAAAAAAAGAGUUACCAAAUGUCUAUUUUUGUGCCAGAUCUAACGGAUAUGAAGGAAACAUGGAGAUAACGCAAUUUAUCUGAUUUCAGUUCACGGGGACUAAAGUACAAGUUAUUCAUUGAGGAAAUGGUUAUUGGUCAACGUGAGGCUGCUCUGCAGAACGGAUUUUGACUGUUCCAGUGGCUUUAUUCUCAUGGACAACGCAGUCAAGUUUGUGAUGGCACUGUUUACUUUAACUUUGUCUGGAUGGAUAAAUUACCAACAAAAUGAUCCACAACCAAAGCACAAGGAAAUGGAUAGCUACUAUCAAAAACAGUUAAAUAAAGAAGUGGACAACUGGGAAAACAUGGAAAUGGAAAAGAACACAGUCUUGGAGAGAGUGAAAGAAAAACCAGAACCUGAAAUGAAUUCAGAAAACCUGAAACUAAUGGACGAGCUACUCUUUACUCCUACAUUCACCACCUUGAGUGGAUCUUUUCCUCUUGGCACUGUUGUUAUUCUGCUUCUUAUUCACACAUGUGGAGCAGAAUUGGAGAA